rnacentral:rRNA from 1 species
AGCGAACGCUGGCGGCAGGCUUAACACAUGCAAGUCGAACGGAUCCUUCGGGAUUAGUGGCGGACGGGUGAGUAACACGUGGGAACGUGCCUUUUGGUUCGGAACAACACAGGGAAACUUGUGCUAAUACCGGAUGUGCCCUUCGGGGGAAAGAUUUAUCGCCAUUAGAGCGGCCCGCGUCUGAUUAGCUAGUUGGUGAGGUAAAGGCUCACCAAGGCUACGAUCAGUAGCUGGCUGAGAGGAUGAUCAGCCACACUGGACUGAGACACGGCCAGACUCCUACGGGAGGCAGCAGUGGGAAUCUUGCGCAAUGGGGGAAACCCUGACGCAGCCAUGCCGCGUGAAUGAUGAAGGUCUUAGGAUUGUAAAAUUCUUUC